AAAAUGAUUAAUAUAAUUUUAGUUCUUAAAUGAAACCAUAACCAUAUUUUAAAAAUUAAAAUCAACCCAUAAUCAUAUUUUGUCAGUUCUAAUCAUAUCACAAUAUAUAUGGUUGAUGGGCAGAAUCAAGAAGUAUCAAAGAUUCCUUACUAUGUCAAUAUUGCCGGACAACCGGAGGUCAGACAUUAUUUGUCUCCUAGCUAGAUAAACAAGGUUUUUGUAUUUGUACAAUUAAAUUUUGUAUUAUAUGCUCC
rnacentral:lncRNA from 1 species